rnacentral:tRNA from 1 species
GGGGGUAACAGCUCAGUGGUAGAGUGCCUGCCCAGUAUGCACAGGGUCCUGGGUUCAAUCCCCAGUAUCUCCA